rnacentral:lncRNA from 1 species
GUUUGAGACCUGGUGACCCAAGUGGACUCAUCCUUCGCCAGAGUCAUUUGAACAGUCCUUUUUUUGAAGCAGUUGUGGGGGAGGUGCAAUUGUUUAGGGGUUAGUUUUUAUCUUUUAUUUUAUUUUUAAAAUGGUGUUGGUUUCACUUGUGAAAUUUUUGUUAAAUUAACUCUUUGUUUAGAAAUUGCUUCGUGUGGUUGUUUGAAAUCAUGACAAACAUGUUUUGGCUCUUUUUUUAGUGUUCCAUUUGGUUUUGACUGCAAUUCCUGAUUUUCCUUCUCUAUUUUUUUUUUGUUGUUGAAAUUGCAUUGUUUAUUGGGAGUAAAGAGACUGAGGUGUGAGUUGCUAGGAUUGUUUUUUGGGAUUUUGGAGAGACAAACAAAAAAAGUGAAGAGUGAGAUUUGUUUUCGAGUGCCAAUUUUAUCAAUUUAUAACAAUCAAAAGAUAGGGAUAAUAUAGAUGUAAAAUAAUAUUUUAUUUUAAAAUAUAAUUUAUAUUAUUUUUUUAAAUAAAUGUUUUUGGACAAAGCUAGUAUAUGCUCACAUUAUUUUAUUUUGUAUUAUUAAUUAAUUUUAAUUAAAAAAUAAAAUAAUAUAAUAUAAUUUAAAUUCAUAACCGUUUAAUCAAUAAUGAAAUUAUAUUAAAAACUAUUUCAUCAAAAAAAAUUAAAUUAUUAAAUUAAAUUAUGAGAAAAAUUAUAAUAUAUAAUUUAUAUUAUUUUUUAAUUUCAAUAUUUUAUCGUCAUUAAUGAGCUAUCCAUGUAUCCAUGUCGUGAGGUGGUCAUUGGAUCCCCUAUCCAUGAAUAGAACUGCAAGGUUGUCAAAAAUAUAUUUUUGACACGGCACAAAAAAUACAAAAUAAACUCGGAUCGUAAAAAUAGAUCGUAAAAUCAUAAGGAAUUUUUUUUUUCAUAUAGAGUUCAAACACCUUAAAAUGCACAGUUCAAAUAAAAAUUCAUGCAUAGUUCAAAUACCUUAAAAUACAUGGUUCAAAUAUAAAUUCAUAUAUAAUUUAAGUAAUUUUUCAUUAACUAAUAAUUAACAAAUUUAAAACAAACAAUCUGCUGAUAUGGAAGCAAUUCAAGAACCAACUCAAAUCAAUCAUGUAAUCAAUCCAAACAUUUGAGUUAUUGAAGUGUCGCACGUCCCCCGCGCGGCGUUUCUGCGAUUUUUCUUUAUGUUUCCUUGAUUGGUUCUUUGAGAGUCGCCACCUAGUAUUUCAUUGAGGGUUACUAGGAAACUCGGAUUUACUGGUCGUUGUCAGAGAUUUGAGGGUAAGGGACUGGUUGUGGCUAAGGAAGGUAUUAGCACCCCUAGCACACCCUACCUAAGGUAAGCUGUUUUGCAGUUUGAUGUGAUUUGAAAAUUUGAAAUAUUAAUCAAAUUCUAAGGUUUUAAUAAAUCAGUUAUUAAAUCCCAGAAUAUAUGUAGAAACAUGUUCAAACACCUUAAAAUGCACAGUUCAAAUAAAAAUUCAUGCAUAGUUCAAAUACCUUAAAAUACAUGGUUCAAAUAUAAAUUCAUAUAUAAUUUAAAUAAUUUUUCAUUAACUAAUAAUUAACAAAUUUAAAACAAUCUGCUGGUAUGAAAGCAAUUCAAGAACCAACUCAAAUCAAUCAUGUAAUCAAUCCAAACAUUUGAGUUAUUGAAGUGUCGCACGUCCCCCGCGCGGCGUUUCGGCGAUUUUUCGUUAUGUUUCCUUGAUUGGUUCUUUGGGAGUCGCCACCUAAUAUUUCAUUAAGGGUUACUAGGAAACCCGGAUUUACUGGUCGUUGUCAGAGAUUUGAGGGUAAGAGACUGGUUUUGGCUAAGGAAGGUAUUAGCACCCCUAACACACCCUACCUAAAGUAAGCUGUUUUGCAGUUUGAUGUGAUUUGACAUAUUAAUCAAAUUCUAAGGUUUUAAUAAAUCAGUUAAAUCCCAGAAUAUAUGUAGAAACAUGUUCUUACAUUUUCAUGGAAAAUAUAACAUGAUUUUAUUUAUCCUUGAGAUAUUUAACCAUAUUCAAAUUAAACAAUUAAUUCUUUUUAUCUUUUUUAUUUUUAUAAUUCAAUAACAUAAAUAAAAAUACAAACACACACACAUAUCCUUUUUUAUUAUGAUUUUUCUCAUACACUAUCUUUUUACAUGUAAAAAGAAAUAUCAAAAAUUCAAAUUACCCAAACACCUUAACAGUUCCCAAAAUUACAUAACACAUUCCACAUAAAAAAUAAUAAUUACAUAAUAGCCCCUGAAAAUCCAGGAAACUGCUGGGAAGGCUUCUGGACCAACAAAAACACUGGCGGCGCGUCUCCUCCACGCGCUGCCGCGAGGAAUAAACUGGAAACGGUGGGAUCUGGCUCAUCCUCUUCUCCCCUUCCUUUCCUCGUCGGCGGUGACCUGCAAGAACAACCAAAACGCAACAAAGCAGUCGAUUUUAGUUCUCUCUUCUCUUUCUCAGAUCUGGUUCAUUCGGUUUUUUGGAUCUGCUUCACUGCAGAUCGGUCUCCUUCGGUCAUCUUCUUCUUCUCCUCUGUUCCAUGUGCUGCACGGCAAGGAGGAACAGACGAGGGAGUGGUGUCGCUGCUGGAGGCGGUGAGCUGGGUCUGCUGGCCUGUGGGUUGCUGCUGUUUGCGAUUCUGCUGGCGUUUGGCGAGCUGGCCGCUGGUUCAGAAAGAAAGAGCUGAGGGCCGGUUCCCUGUGUCAGUGGGCGGCGGUGUUGUCUUGGCCGCGAGGGAGAGUGAAGGCCAGUGGAGGGGCACGGCUGGCUGGCUUUGGGUCACAAAGCAGGGGCCAGCGGGAUUUUUGGAGGAGCAGGGUCUUGGCUGGCGGCUGUGUUGAUGACCAGGAGAUGGACCCUGUGGCUGAGGCUCUUCGUUUUUUUUCUUUCCAAAAGAGAGGAGGGGGCUGCGGCUACAGUGUUGGAAAAAUAGGGAGAAGAUAGGGCCGGCCGCUUUGUUUUUAAGAUGUGGCCAGGGGAGAUGGUUUUCUUUUUUUCAAGGGAGGGGGCGGUCGGCCUCAACAAGGGAAAGAGGGGAGACCAAAUGGCCAAAGGGAGAAGUGGCAGCUGAGGGGGGAUCUGGUUUUUUGUUUCAAAGGGAGAGGGGCCGCCGACCUCUGGUUCGCUUCCCCGAGAGAGGAAGGGUGGCCAGCUGCCCUCUCUUUGUGUGGGGUUCUCUCCGGUUUGCUUUCCCAAAGCCAAAGGAGUGGGGGGCUGUGUGUUGGUUUCAGAGGGUGGCGGCUGCUAUGGUUUUUUUGUAGGUUUAGGUUUUUUCCUUUCUUUCCCUCAGUUUUUCUCCGCCCCUCAUGCCUGUAAAAUUUUUCUCCCCCCCUGCUAUUUCACUGUAGCAUAGUAUUUAUAGGAAAAGUUUUGCUAGGUUUUCAAAUUAGUCCCUCAACUUUUUCCUUUUCUUUUCUUUUCCUCUUUUUUUUUUUUUAUAAAUUUUGAUUUUUCUUAUUUUUUUGUAUUUUUGAAAGCGAGCAAUAUCAACAUCAACUCAACAAGGAAAAUCAGUGAUCAUAAAAUUUACGCGUUAAAAGUUGAACGCGUUCCAAAUACCUUUGAAAAUUUUGAUAUUAGAUAAAUAACUAUGUUAGUUUACAUAGAGAUCAGUCAUUGUUUUAUGAGCAGACAAACUAACCAUACACCCAAUCCAUUCUUCUCAUGAUACAAACCCUAUAUAUAUAUAUAUAUAUAUAGACAGACAGAUAUAUAUAUAUAUACCCAUAAAAAAGAAGCAGUUAAGAAGCGAAGAAAGUAUAUAAAACAAGGGCAUAAUUCAUGGUCGAGAGAGUUGGGUCUUUGUUUCCUUACUUUUGGUUUUGGAAAUUCAGCUUUUGCUUCUGGUGGGAAUUGCAAU